UCCGGGUUGGACCCGGCGGUCCCGCCAGACAUGGUAACUGGCAGCGAGGGUUGCGCUCGUUGCGGGACUUAACCCAACACCUCACGGCACGAGCUGACGACAGCCAUGCAGCACCUGUCUCCGCGCCCCUUGCGGGGACGGCCCAUCUCUGGGCUUAGCACGGGAUGUCAAGGCCUGGUAAGGUUCUGCGCGUUGCGUCGAAUUAAACCAUAUGCUCCACCGCUUGUGCGGGCCCCCGUCAAUUCCUUUGAGUUUCAGCCUUGCGGCCGUACUCCCCAGGCGGGGCACUUACUGCGUUAGCGACGGCACUCAGGGGGUCGCUCCCCCAAGCACCUAGUGCCCAUCGUUUACGGCGUGGACUAC
rnacentral:misc_RNA from 1 species